UACGUAGGGUGCAAGCGUUAAUCGGAAUUACUGGGCGUAGAGCGUGCGCAGGCGGUUUUGUAAGUCUGACGUGAAAUCCCCGGGCUCAACCUGGGAAUUGCGUUGGAGACUGCAAGGCUAGAAUCUGGCAGAGGGGGGUAGAAUUCCACGUGUAGCAGUGAAAUGCGUAGAGAUGUGAAGGAACACCGAUGGCGAAGGCAGCCCCCUGGGUCAAGAUUGACGCUCAUGCACGAAAGCGUGGGGAGCAAACAGG
rnacentral:rRNA from 1 species